UGGCGGCACCAAGCCCAGGGAAUGUUCCAAUGGAAAGCAGCGGAACGUCACCCUUGGCAGCUGUUCAUGGUGAGAUCAUUUCUUUUAAAACAGCUGCUCAUAGCUGACAACCAAACAUUUGUCAGAAGAACCGGUGGCGACAUGUCCCUGUGACGUUCCAUUGGAGGGAAGCAGAACGUCGCAUCCCACAGCAGCUUCUGAAAAGCCGAUGGCGGAACCAAGCCCCGGGGAUGUUCGAAUGGAAGGCAGUGGAACGUCACCUUCGGCAGCUGCUCAUGAACAACCGAUGGCGACAAGCCCCUGUGGUAUUUCACUGG